CUUACUACAUGGCUAGAGAACUUAAAACAGAUGCAGAUAUAAUUUUUAUGCCUUACAACUAUCUCUUAGAUCCAAAAUCAAGAAGAGCAAAUGGUGUUGAACUACAAGGGAAUGUACUCAUCUUUGAUGAAGCUCAUAACUUGG